CUUGAAUUAUUGGUUACUACCCAAGUCUUCCAAACCGGUCAUAUAUUCCGGACAAUUGUAUAAUGUCCAGUAAAAGUCCUCCUGGGCAAAGCAUGAAUCGGUCAUCUACUUAUUAGUUUUCAAGGCUUUCUUAAGAGACGGUCAUUUUAACAUAAUUCGCGAUCUUUUUGACCAAACUUUUGCCUUUAACAGCCACACAUUUCCAGUCAUAAAAGUGACAUGAUGAUUAAUUACUAUCAAAACAACCUCUACUUCAAUACUUUCUAAUUUUAAUCAAGGCUAAUUAGUUGUUGGACAGCUGAAAUCUACCUGUUCAGGUGACAGGUAAACUAUUUUCAGUACCAGACAUUGUAAAAUUGAUCGGUCUAUUCAAAGUUAUUUUCUUACAUUCAGCUGUUUUUGUUUCUAAUUGAUUUAGUCCAAAAGAUUAAAAUUAUAAGAAAUACGUUUAUAAACAUGAUUUGAUAAAAAAGUUAAAAAGGUUUUAAAUGAAAAAUCGUCAGAACUACAUUGUAUGAACUAGAACAUGUGUGUGCGCAGGUGGGAAUUUAAUUGUGCAUCCUACAUUUCUUCUAAAAUGCUAAAAUUAUCAUUGAUACCUGUAUCUAGCGUUCAUUUCAAGUAUUUUGUUGAAGAAUUAACGUGGAAAGAGCUUCUUCACUCAGUCGUGCUUUGUAAACAUACACAGAUUUUACAUAUCCGUUUCUGGUCCAUGUUUUACCAUGAAACUUAAAACAUUAUUUUGCACAAAUAAAGAGUCUAAGGCAGAUAUGAGCACGCUGAUGUGCACACCUCGAAAAUGAUGCACUGCCAAUUUAACAGUUUACGUCAGAACAUCAAACUCAUAUUAAAGUAAAGUUUAAU
rnacentral:lncRNA from 1 species